rnacentral:ncRNA from 1 species
UGAAAGACGUAGAUAGGGAAUAGUAAGCACUGAACCCUUCAGAGAGUGGAACCGUUACGCUGUGAGGUUUCAUAGGAUGUAGCUGCUGAAGUCGCCCUGGAGUCGUUUGCAUCGAAAUCUUCGACAAUUGGGGUUUUCAGAUUGUUGUAGUGUAGAGCAAGCCGGUAACAGCCGUUAUCUGUUCAAGUGUCGUGUAUAAACCGUCAUUAAGGUUGAAUAUGCGAAACAAAGGUGGUACCACGGAAGAUAACCCUUUCGUCCUUUGA